rnacentral:lncRNA from 1 species
AUGGCCUCUGGUGUGGCUGUCUCUGAUGGGAUCAUCAAGGUGUUCAAUGACAUGAAAGUUUGAAAGUCUUCAAUGCCAGAAGUGAAGAAGGCAGUGUUCUUUUGCCUGAGUGAGAAUAAGAAGAACAUCAUCCUGGAGGAGAGCAAGGAGAUCCUGGGAGGAGAUGUGGGACAGAUGUAGGUGUGGAUGUCCCCUACACCACUUUUGUCAAGAUGCUGCCAGAUAAGGACUGCCACUAUGCUCUCUAUGAUACAACCUAUGAGACCAAGGAAAGCAAGAAGGAGGACCUGGUGGUCAUCUGCUAGGCUCCUGAGAGUGUACCCCCUAAGAGCAAAAUGAUCUAUGCCAGCUCCAAGGAUGCCACCAAGAAGAAGCUGACAGGAAUCAAGCAUGAAUUACAAGCUAACUGCUACAAGGAGAUCACAGACCACUGCACCCUGACAGAAAAACUAGAAAGCAGCUCCAUCAUUUCCCUGGAGAGCAAGCCUUUGUGA